CGUGCCGUAUCCCAACUGGCUGGAGGAGCGGGACUCAAAAUCCCGUGGACGGAAGUCCCACUGUGGGUUCAAAUCCCACCGGCACGA
rnacentral:tRNA from 1 species